GCACUGCUGAAGAGUGCCACAACGAGACGAAACGGCCGUCUGGUGC
rnacentral:hammerhead_ribozyme from 1 species